UCCUCGGUAGCUCAGUGGUAGAGCAUCCGACUGUUAAUCGGAUGGUCGCUGGUUCGAAUCCAGCCCGGGGAGCCA
rnacentral:tRNA from 1 species